rnacentral:tRNA from 1 species
GGAAGGGGACGGGGGCUGGUGUCCUCCCUGGUCUUCAAAACCAGUGGUCGGCGACCCGAGUCGUCGACGGUGGGUUCGAUUCCCAUGCCUUUCCGCCA